UCUAUCUCCCUCUCUCUCCCUUUCUCUUUCUCUUUCUCUCUCUCUCCAUCUCUCUCUUUCUCUCUCUGUCUCUCUCUCUCUCUAGCGCGCGUGCACGGGGGGCACGGGUCGCGCGCACGCCCCACCGGUUCUCUCUCUCUCUCUCCCCCUCUCUUCCUUUCUCUCUUUUUCUCUCUCCCUAUCUCUCUAUUUCUCUCUCUCUCUAAACCUCCUUAGAUCUCCAUUUUUCACUCCUCAGCUUCCUUUUUUUUGUGUGUAGCAGCGACAAUACUCUUUCUCUCUCUCCCUGUAACAUACCGAACUUCUACAACUUU
rnacentral:lncRNA from 1 species